CUUUCUCUCAAACCCUAGCACCAUUGCUGUUUUCGCUUCUUUUGUUUGGCAAUUUCUCUUCUUCUUUUGGAUCUUCCUUAAACCAUCAGAGAUCAUAGUUGGAGUCUGUAGUAGAUUAAUGACUUAUAUGCUCUCGAUUUUUAUUUAUUCGCUAUAUAAAUAUCUGGUACUGAUUUUUUGCCUCAAGUUCACGAAUCGAUUUCUUCCGAGAGAAUGAGCUGCAGUUUCGAAGGGUGUGUGUACUUUUUUGACUGUAAACCAAGACUGUCAUUUCUUUGUUGAAUUUUUACUUCUA